GCCUCUUUAUUUAAUCUGGGUAAAUGUCUUUGUUUACGAAUGGUACCAGUUAGAUGGGUGUUUUCAGUAUACAAGUAAUAUGGAAGUUAAAAAGUUAUCACAAAAGACAUUAAACCAAUUACCUAAGAGACUGGCAGAUCUCAAUAAUUUGAGGACAACAUGACAUCCUUGCGUCUCAUUAUUUGGAAUUGGAUCAUACCGUUU
rnacentral:lncRNA from 1 species